rnacentral:rRNA from 1 species
UGGUGGAGUGAUUUGUCUUUCUUAAUUGCGAUAACGAACGAGACCUUAACCUGCUCAAUGUUACGCCAAUCCUCGCGAUUGGUGGGCAACUUCUUAGAGGGACUCGCCGUAUCCAGCGGCAGGAAGUUUGAGGCAAUAACA